rnacentral:misc_RNA from 1 species
UUCCUUUCAACUAAAAGGGACACACUGAUGUAGCAAACUCCUUCCUCGUUUGAGCUAUAAAAGUAGCCAAAUUCAACUUGCUUGAAAAUUAGGGAGUUGGGUUAGAUUUUCUUCUUCCAAACUGCAAAAUGAAAAUUCAGGAUUGCAUAGAAAAAUGGAUUCAGAGAGACUGCAAGGGUGAAAAUUAUGCACAAUCCAUCCUCUGUAAAUGAUUGGCAUUGUCAGUUUUCAUUCUUUUUUAGGCAAUCUAAGUGUGAUGAGCUUGUCAAAGCUGGAAAAAUUUUCAGGUCAAAUGGUUGAACAUUGAUAUCUUGGUACAAUAGAACUUGACUACGAGUUCAUUAAAGGUAGAAAAAAAACCACCUGUUAUAACUGAUGUGGCUGAGGAGAGUGGUACGAUGUAUUCCUAUUGUAACUUAAAACAGGAGUAGAUUUUGGUGCUUUUGCAUGUCAAAUGUCAGUGGUAACCAAAAAGAAUAGGUUAAGAAGAUGAUAUGAUGGCCUAGAUCAAAAUAUAUGGAAGGUUGUUCUUCUGAUUUAUGUUGGUAAGGACGCUUUUUCAGCUGAUGCUCUGGGAAUUCCUUUUCCAAGGUUUUCUGAUUCUGUUAUCUUCUAAAAAAGUGGACUGCAAGGAUCGUUGCUUCCGAUGCCUUGGAUUUUUUCCAGCAGUUAACAUGCCUUGUUUGGAAAAUGAUCUCUUGUUUAGAUUGGUUCAAAUAUGAGGAAACAGAGAUCAUGUGGUGAUGCCACCCCUGGAGAGGCAUGGCGGUGGCCCAUUAAUCUCUUAUAUGGCCUACGAUAGCAUCUCCAGUCUAAUAGAUGGCUCAUGGAAGACAUAGAACCUUAUAGUGAGCAAGCAACAGCGGUUGGUUUAAAACGAACUGUGGGAUACUGAUAUGGUGUUGAAGAUGGCAACAGGGCAUUCUUUCAGGAUGACCAUAGCAAAACCAAUUGGUACCAUGGCUGGCAUGCCUGGUUUUACCUUUGCUGUGUGUAAGGGUGUAAAUGAGCAAAGUUGCUUGCGAGUUACUCGAGGUUCAAUUCAAUUCGACUCAUUUAAAAAGUGAGCUGAGCUCGAGCUCAAUUUUUAAGUUUAUUUAAUAAACAAAUCGAGUUCAAACUUCAUAAUAUACCACUUGUUAAAGGUUGUAAGCUGGCUCGAGAGUGGAUUUGUUAAAUAAACUCGUGAACAGACUCGUUUGUAAAAAUAUUUAUAUUAG